rnacentral:rRNA from 1 species
CGGAGGGUGCAAGCGUUGUCCGGAUUUAUUGGGUUUAAAGGGUGCGUAGGCGGUCUUUUAAGUCAGUGGUGAAAUCCAGCAGCUCAACUGUUGAAUUGCCAUUGAUACUGGAAGACUUGAGUACAGACGAGGUAGGCGGAAUUUAUGGUGUAGCGGUGAAAUGCAUAGAUACCAUAAAGAACACCGAUUGCGAAGGCAGCUUACUAGGCUGUAACUGACGCUGAGGCACGAAAGCGUGGGGAUCAAACAGGAUUAGAUACCCUGGUAGUCCACGCCGUAAACGAUGAUUACUCGAUGUGUGCGAUAGACAGUACGCGUCCAAGCGAAAGCGUUAAGUAAUCCACCUGGGGAGUACGAUCGCAAGAUUG